rnacentral:rRNA from 1 species
GACGAACGCUGGCGGCGUGCCUAAUACAUGCAAGUUGAGCGCUGAAGGUUGGUACUUGUACCGACUGGAUGAGCAGCGCACGGGUGAGUAACGCGUGGGGAAUCUGCCUUUGAGCGGGGGACAACAUUUGGAAACGAAUGCUAAUACCGCAUAAAAACUUUAAACACAAGUUUUAAGUUUGAAAGAUGCAAUUGCAUCACUCAAAGAUGAUCCCGCGUUGUAUUAGCUAGUUGGUGAGGUAAAGGCUCACCAAGGCGAUGAUACAUAGCCGACCUGAGAGGGUGAGCGGCCACAUUGGGACUGGGACACGGCCCAAACUCCUACGGGAGGCAGCAGUAGGGAAUCUUCGGCAAUGGGCGAAAGUCUGACCGAGCAACGCCGCGGGAGGGAAGAAGGUUUUCGGAUCGUAAAACUCGGUUGGUAGAGAAGAACGUUGGUGAGAGUGGAAAGCUCAUCAAGUGACGGUAACUACCCAGAAAGGGACGGCUAACUACGUG